rnacentral:lncRNA from 1 species
ACUCUGAACCCACUCGAUCACCAUGGCUGAGUCCCCCUCGAGGAGAAUGCAAUCCGCACCCAAAACACACCUCGCAUAGGUGAUGCCCUUCCAUACGGCUAUGAGCUCAACAAUGACGGCAGACGUAUCAAAGAUCUGCCGAUCCCCAGCUGCCACCAGUCUGGUGUUAUGGUCUUUGAUACAAAUCCCACACCUCCACUACUCUCUCCCUCGC